rnacentral:rRNA from 1 species
CACGUAGGGCGCAAGCGUUGUCCGGAAUUAUUGGGCGUAAAGAGCUCGUAGGCGGUCUGUCGCGUCGGCUGUGAAAACCUGGGGCUCAACCCCGGGCCUGCAGCCGAUACGGGCAAGCUAGAAUUCGGUAGGGGAGACUGGAAUUCCUGGUGUAGCGGUGAAAUGCGCAGAUAUCAGGAGGAACACCGGUGGCGAAGGCGGGUCUCUGGGCCGAUAUUGACGCUGAGGAGCGAAAGCGUGGGGAGCGAACAGG